rnacentral:rRNA from 1 species
UACGUAGGGUGCGAGCGUUGUCCGGAAUUAUUGGGCGUAAAGAGCUUGUAGGCGGUUUGUCGCGUCUGCUGUGAAAUCUCAAGGCUCAACCUUGAGCUUGCAGUGGGUACGGGCAGGCUAGAGUGUGGUAGGGGAGACUGGAAUUCCUGGUGUAGCGGUGAAAUGCGCAGAUAUCAGGAGGAACACCGAUGACGAAGGCAGGUCUCUGGGCCACUACUGACGCUGAGAAGCGAAAGCAUGGGGAGCGAACAGG